CGAAUUUUGCGUUUGAAACGUUGUAAACAAAAAAGUUCCUUCUGCAAUCUAGGUAUAUUUUAAUUUGUGUUUCUUUUUCGCAUUUUUGAGCUUAAAAACAACUAUCUUAUUUCGAGAAAUUGACGUAAAUCGCUUCUACAUCGACUAUGGAAAUGGAUGUUGAUCUGACGAAUCAAAUACGUCCCCGGAGAAGGAUUUGACGAAAAUUAGCCGCCUCAUCCCUCUCUCAGCAAAUCGUGCUGUGAACCGCCGGAAGCGGGAAAAAGGAUUCAAAAUCUGGCCAAGGAAAACACCAGCACAGAUAUCAGCUAGCAAAAAACUUUUGGACGUUAAACCUGGCACACCUUCGAAUAGCUAUUUAACAAUAUAUUAUUAUGCAACAAAUCAACUUUUAGUUGACAACUUACCUUUAAUUAUAGCGAUUUAUUUGUCAAUGUUCAAAAUGUUACUAAUUUGCAUCUAAACAUGCCCUUCAGAUGUAUAACUUUACAGUAAACU